ACAGCUCUUCCUUGUUGGUGAUCCCUCAUUAAGAAGCCCUCCAGCCUGACACUGCUGAAGCCCUGGAGGUUGGAGCCACUCAGAGAGGAAACCAGAGCACAGAAAGGUUAAGUGAAAUGCCCGAAGUCACACAACUGAUAAAUUGUCAAAUUGGGAUCCAAGCCCAGGCAGCUCUGAGUCAUUGACAUUACUCUGUCCUAGAAGGCACUCGACAGAAAGGGGGUUUGUGCUUCCUCCAUCCCACCCAGCUUCUGAAUGGUCCAGGCCCCUGACUGCAUCAUCACGAAAAG
rnacentral:lncRNA from 1 species